rnacentral:rRNA from 1 species
AGCAGCCGCGGUAAUUCCAGCUCCAAUAGCGUAUAUUAAAGUUGUUGCAGUUAAAAAGCUCGUAGUUGAAUUUCGAGAUCAAAUUGUUGGUCGUGCCUCGGUACGUACUGGCAUUAUUGAUUUCUCCCUUCUGAAGAACCACGAUGUCAUUAAUUUGGUGUCGUGGGGAAUCAGGACUGUUACUUUGAAAAAAUUAGAGUGUUUAAAGCAGGCUCACGCUUGAAUAUAUUAGCAUGGAAUAAUGAAAUAGGACGUUUGAUUCUAUUUUGUUGGUUUCUAGGAUCGACGUAAUGAUUAAUAGGGAUAGUUGGGGGCAUUAGUAUUCAAUUGUCAGAGGUGAAAUUCUUGGAUUUAUUGAAGACUAACUACUGCGAAAGCAUUUGCCAAGGAUGUUUUCAUUAAUCAAGAACGAAAGUUAGGGGAUCGAAGACGAUCAGAUACCGUCGUAGUCUUAACCAUAAACUAUGCCGACUAGGGAUCGGAUGAUGUUAAUUUUUUAAUGACUCAUUCGGCGCCUUACG